AUAUCAUGUGACUUAGGUUAGAGGUCACGGCAGCCAUCUUAGAUUUCACUUCACUAUAGCAGUGAUGCAGCAGCAGAUGUCUCUCUGAUAAAGGCUAUAUUCUUGUCAUUUCAUGCCAAAGAGGCCAUCGUCUUUUCACAAAAUACGAUGUUGGCAACUGAAGAUUUCAAGUAAAACACUGAAAGAGAACUCUUUUGGUUUCGACUUUUUCUUCAUCCCUCAUCCUGUUUAACUAUCUGUCGAGGUGCAACCUACUUGCAGCAGGGACAGAAUAAUUACAAUAUUCAAACAAAUAUAACUUUUUUGCUUUCAAGAAGUCUCAGCUUCCCCAGUUCAAAUCCUCAAAGCCUCUUUGGACACAUUUGGAAAUCUCUUCUUGACUGUGAGACAAAAAUCAGUUAUUUUUUAUAACUUGAUGUUUCUAGUAAAUUUUCCUUUCUCCAAGUAUUGACUUACCGUAUAUAUGGCUGCCGUGGUUUCCUCGUCAAGGGCACUUUUUCUAUCUCUACCACUGUACUCAUACAAAAGACAAAACACAAUAACUGAACAUGUGUACAGGUACAGAGGGCAUGCACUUUGUCUUCUGACUAGUUUUGGAUUUCCUGAUAUUUUUGUUUACACUGGAACUAAAACAAUUACAUGUAUACUGGAUUUUAAAGAUAUUUAAUGGGCAUAUUUUUGGACAGUACAGUAAAGAAACGAAUGAUUGAG